UCUUAUCUCUUUCUUAUUUCCUUGUUCCCACACAGCAGCACCUUAUCUCCUCUUUGACUUUCUCAAAGCAACUAAAAGACGUAAGAACUCUCUCCCUCUCAUACCCACGAGUCCAACAUCAAAAGAAAGAAAAGCUCUCAACACUUCUCUCCCUCUCACACCUACGAGUCCAACAGAAAGGAACAAGAGUUUCUUUCAAAUCUUCUCAAGCUCUUGUUCCCAACUUGAAAUUAGAGUGAUUCUAGCUCUAUCACUCUAAGAAACUGUGUCUAGGGUGUUACCAGUUCCCAAGUUUAAGCUCCUUCAACUUUAGGCUCUCGGUUCCUCUACUUUCAGGAUGCAAAUGAAGACGUUAAGUGCAAAACGUAGCUAAUUGGGCGAUUCUGGACAGCUUUGACAUUGCUUCGUAAUCUGGGCAUAACUCUCUCAUCCAAGCUCCGAUUGAGAUGAUUCAAAAUGCUAUGGAACGCCAAGACAAAGUUCUACAACUUUCAUAUUUUGAGUUUUGAGAGAUACGGGCUGAAUCAAGGUCGAAAUUGGGCUUGAAGUUGCUGCACCUGCACUAUUGACGUUCUGGAAUGUUCUUUUGCCUGCAAUUCUAAUACGCAGAUCUGAUGGGGUUUAUUUUCAGAAGCUUCCAGAUUUUGUGCACGAAAUUUUCAGCUGAA